CACGUAGGGCGCAAGCGUUGUCCGGAAUUAUUGGGCGUAAAGAGCUCGUAGGCGGUCUGUUGCGUCCGCUGUGAAAACCCGGGGCUUAACCCCUGGCUUGCAGUGGAUACGGACAGACUAGAGGUAGGUAGGGGAGAAUGGAAUUCCCGGUGUAGCGGUGAAAUGCGCAGAUAUCGGAGGAACACCGGUGGCGAAGGCGGUUCUCUGGGCCUUACCUGACGCUGAGGAGCGAAAGCGUGGGGAGCGAACAGG
rnacentral:rRNA from 1 species